ensembl:snoRNA
GGGCCCCUUUAAGGCUGAUGUAAUGCUUUAAGAGGCUAACACAGAAGGGUAAAGCCAGUCUCCUUAAAACCCAAAGCAGAGAUUAUAAAAUGUCUCUUUGGAUCCUGUCUGGAGUCACAGCU